rnacentral:rRNA from 1 species
GAUGAACGCUGGCGGCGUGCCUAAUACAUGCAAGUCGAGCGAACAGAUGAGGAUCUUGCUCCUCUGACGUUAGCGGCGGACGGGUGAGUAACACGUGGAUAACCUACCUAUAAGACUGGGAUAACUUCGGGAAACCGGAGCUAAUACCGGAUAAUAUAUUGAACCGCAUGGUUCAAUAGUGAAAGACGGUUUUGCUGUCACUUAUAGAUGUAUCCGCGCCGCAUUAGCUAGUUGGUAAGGUAACGGCUUACCAAGGCAACGAUGCGUAGCCGACCUGAGAGGAUGAUCGGCCACACUGGAACUGAGACACGGUCCAGACUCCUACGGGAGGCAGCAGUAGGGAAUCUUCGGCAAUGGGCGAAAGCCUGACGGAGCAACGCCGCGUGAGGGAUGAAGGUCUUCGGAUCGUAAAACGCUGUUAUUAGGGAAGAACAAAUGUGUAAGUAACUAUGCACGUCUUGACGGUACCGGAUCAGAAAGCCACGGCUAACUACGUG